UCAUUCCAAACACACGCCUGGAGCUCUGCAGCAACACCCGGGAACGUCACUUAGCACGCACCACCUCCCCCCACCUUGCCCGCGACCGCGGCGUCCUCACCGCUGCCAGACUCCUAGGAUACACACUUGGGAAGAAGAACUAUCUUCUUCCCAAGACCCUCCAGAGCGCUCACCCCCAACCCCAGCGGGCCUUACCUGGUCAGAGUCAGAUUUCUGCCAUGCCUUAUAACCUGGUAUGAGAACAAACAAUCAAACAGCCUCUGCCAGAACCAGUGAUUUUAUAGUGUGACCUGGAGGGAAAAGUAUGGAAAACCCCUGGUUAAUUUUAAUUUCAGAUCAA